AGAGUUUGAUCCUGGCUCAGAAUGAACGCUGGCGGCGUGGAUAAGACAUGCAAGUCGAACGGAAAACACAAUAGCUUGCUAAUGUGUUUUUAGUGGCGGACGGGUUAGUAACACGUGAGCAACCUGCCUCGAAGCGGGGGAUAGCCUUCCGAAAGGGAGAUUAAUACCGCAUACGGUCUUCGGAUCAAAGGAGCCUUCGGGUUCCACUUCGAGAUGGGCUCGCGGCCUAUCAGCUAGUUGGUGAGGUAACGGCUCACCAAGGCAACGACGGGUAGCUGGUCUGAGAGGAUGAUCAGCAACACUGGAACUGAGACACGGUCCAGACACCUACGGGUGGCAGCAGUCGAGAAUCAUUCACAAUGGGGGAAACCCUGAUGGUGCAACGCCGCGUGGAGGAUGAAGGCCCUAGGGUCGUAAACUCCUGUCAUAUAAGAGUAAGGCAUACGUGGUUAAUACCCGUGUAUGUUUGAUAGUAUUAUAAGAGGAAGGGACGGCUAACUUCGUGCCAGCAGCCGCGGUAAUACGAAGGUCCCGAGCGUUAUUCGGAAUCACUGGGCGUAAAGAGUACGUAGGCGGUUUGGUAAGUCAGGUGUGAAAUCCCGGAGCUCAACUCCGGAACUGCAUCCGAUACUGCCAGACUUGAGUAAUGGAGAGGCAGGGUGGAUUCUCGGUGUAGCAGUGAAAUGCGUGGAUAUCGAG
rnacentral:rRNA from 1 species